UGCAAGUCGAGCGGUAGAGAGAAGCUUGCUUCUCUUGAGAGCGGCGGACGGGUGAGUAAUGCCUAGGAAUCUGCCUGGUAGUGGGGGAUAACGUUCGGAAACGGACGCUAAUACCGCAUACGUCCUACGGGAGAAAGCAGGGGACCUUCGGGCCUUGCGCUAUCAGAUGAGCCUAGGUCGGAUUAGCUAGUUGGUGAGGUAAUGGCUCACCAAGGCGACGAUCCGUAACUGGUCUGAGGGGAUGAUCAGUCACACUGGAACUGAGACACGGUCCAGACUCCUACGGGAGGCAGCAGUGGGGAAUAUUGGACAAUGGGCGAAAGCCUGAUCCAGCCAUGCCGCGUGUGUGAAGAAGGUCUUCGGAUUGUAAAGCACUUUAAGUUGGGAGGAAGGGCAGUUGCCUAAUACGUAACUGUUUUGACGUUACCGACAGAAUAAGCACCGGCUAACUCUGUGCCAGCAGCCGCGGUAAUACAGAGGGUGCAAGCGUUAAUCGGAAUUACUGGGCGUAAAGCGCGCGUAGGUGGUUUGUUAAGUUGGAUGUGAAAUCCCCGGGCUCAACCUGGGAACUGCAUUCAAAACUGACUGACUAGAGUAUGGUAGAGGGUGGUGGAAUUUCCUGUGUAGCGGUGAAAUGCGUAGAUAUAGGAAGGAACACCAGUGGCGAAGGCGACCACCUGGACUAAUACUGACACUGA
rnacentral:rRNA from 1 species